AACGAACGCUGGCGGCGUGGAUAAGACAUGCAAGUCGAACGGGACAAGUAGCAAUAUUUGUCUAGUGGCGAACGGGUGCGUAACACGUGGGCAACAUGCCUGGAAGAGCGGGAUAGCCCGGGGAAACUCGGAUUAAUACCGCAUGUGACAACGGGGCGGAUUCGCCCUGUUUUCAAAGGUGGGGACCGCAAGGCCUGCCGCUUCCAGAUUGGCCCGCGUCCUAUCAGCUAGUUGGCGGGGUAACGGCCCACCAAGGCGACGACGGGUAGCUGGUCUGAGAGGACGACGAGCCACACUUGAACUGAGACACGGUCCAGACACCUACGGGUGGCAGCAGUCGAGAAUCUUUCACAAUGGGGGAAACCCUGAUGGAGCGACGCCGCGUGGAGGAUGACGGUCUUCGGAUUGUAAACUCCUGUCAUGAAAGAACAAGCGGAGCGGGUGAACAGCCCGCCGAGUUGAUAGUAUUUCAAGAGGAAGGGACGGCUAACUUCGUGCCAGCAGCCGCAGUAAUAC
rnacentral:rRNA from 1 species